GAAAGGGGAAGGGAGGGGCACCAAGUGAGUGGGGCUGGGGGCGGGAAGAUGGUUUAACAGUCAAACCUGCAAAGCGUCAUCUUGUCUCCCUACCAGGAAGCGGGCUGUGAGCCAAGGGAAAAGCAGAAGACAGAUAUGAAUGCGUUCCCAAGCUUUCCUCGUGGUUUAUGUCAUUCUCCAAACUCCCAAGCAAGGGCUAUUCCUGACCAAGAAGACCCAAGGAGACCGUCUCUAAAAUCAAGUCCGGAUGGAGACGUCUCUCUAAAGAACACACAAGUGGCCAAACCCAUCCAGGCCUCGAUGAGCUUCCUGGCUGCUGCUCUGGUGGAAGUCUAAUGUUUAGAGGACCUGACCAUUCUUAAAAGGAGAGUCUAGAUGAAAUUUACUGAGCUGGCCCUCACCUUUUCCUUGGCUGUGGAUAGGUUGUUGGAUUAGUGGUGCUGAAUGUCUGAGAUACGGAAAGAAGCCUGUACAUUCCCACCUCACAGACACAGGGAUAUGAAACAAAACUGGGGUUGAUAUUUGGGGUAAGCAACAAUGAUAAAACAUUUCAUCUGCAAAACAUCUAUAGAGCUGACGUUUUUAAUUGGAGGUGUUUCAACACAUUCAAAAGAUAAAAGUAAUCGCUCAUGUUUUUCUUCCUUUUCUUUCUCCUCAUAUUCCUAACUCAUCUCAUCAGUAAACGGUACUCUAAAAAUGACAAAGUGUGCCCGAUGUUUGUGUCACUUGGCCCUUGAAUUUUAUGGUUCAGGCUUGUUAAAAAAAAUAGAAAUAAUUUAGUUUUUGCCCUUUUAAGUGGAAUAUUAUUUUUUUAAGUUAGAUUGUAAAAAGUUAAAUUUAAUUCAUUUCAAAUUUAUUUUUAUGUUUAAUUUAGUUCUCAGUUUAAACUAAAAGAGAUUACUGCGUGAUUACUAAGCUCCAUUCUGUCUUUAAUGUUCUAAGAGCUGACGCCAGUAAGUGGAAAUUCAGUGAGACCAUCUUAUAAACUCUUGUUAUAGAAGGUACUAGCUUUUUAAAAAUACCCCACAUAAUGACAAAUUAAGAGGGUGUGGAGAAAGAGCCAGGAGUGCAGUUUCCAGCUCUCAGCCUCACGUGGAAAGGUGCUAGCUCAGGUACUAAAUGACCAUCAACUGUGAUUGGAUGGCCAUCAGCUGUGGCUAGUUGGCCGUCAGCUGUAACCAGUGAGCCAUUGGCCACUAAUAUAACUGCCGUGGCUACGCUAGCAGAAAAUGAGGGCUAGCAAGAAGAUGGUGGCUGGCAAGCGCUGAGUGUGGUGGAGUGUGGAUUGCGG
rnacentral:lncRNA from 1 species